UACGAAGGGGGCUAGCGUUGUUCGGAAUUACUGGGCGUAAAGCGCACGUAGGCGGGUUGUUAAGUCAGGGGUGAAAUCCUGGAGCUCAACUCCAGAACUGCCUUUGAUACUGGCAAUCUCGAGUCCGGAAGAGGUUGGUGGAACAGCUAGUGUAGAGGUGAAAUUCGUAGAUAUUAGCUAGAACACCAGUGGCGAAGGCGGCCAACUGGUCCGGUACUGACGCUGAGGUGCGAAAGCGUGGGGAGCAAACAGG
rnacentral:rRNA from 1 species